rnacentral:rRNA from 1 species
UUAACACAUGCAAGUCGAACGAUGAUGCCCAGCUUGCUGGGCGGAUUAGUGGCGAACGGGUGAGUAAUACGUGAGUAACCUGCCCUUGACUCUGGGAUAAGCCUGGGAAACUGGGUCUAAUACUGGAUACUACCUCUUGCCGCAUGGUGGGUGGUGGAAAGGGUUUUACUGGUUUUGGAUGGGCUCACGGCCUAUCAGCUUGUUGGUGGGGUAAUGGCUCACCAAGGCGACGACGGGUAGCCGGCCUGAGAGGGUGACCGGCCACACUGGGACUGAGACACGGCCCAGACUCCUACGGGAGGCAGCAGUGGGGAAUAUUGCACAAUGGGCGGAAGCCUGAUGCAGCGACGCCGCGUGAGGGAUGACGGCCUUCGGGUUGUAAACCUCUUUCAGUAGGGAAGAAGCGAGAGUGACGGUACCUGCAGAAGAAGCGCCGGCUAACUACGUGCCAGCAGCCGCGGUAAUACGUAGGGCGCAAGCGUUGUCCGGAAUUAUUGGGCGUAAAGAGCUCGUAGGCGGUUUGUCGCGUCUGCUGUGAAAGCCCGGGGCUCAACCCCGGGUCUGCAGUGGGUACGGGCAGACUAGAGUGCAGUAGGGGAGACUGGAAUUCCUGGUGUAGCGGUGAAAUGCGCAGAUAUCAGGAGGAACACCGAUGGCGAAGGCAGGUCUCUGGGCUGUUACUGACGCUGAGGAGCGAAAGCAUGGGGAGCGAACAGGAUUAGAUACCCUGGUAGUCCAUGCCGUAAACGUUGGGCACUAGGUGUGGGGGACAUUCCACGUUUUCCGCGCCGUAGCUAACGCAUUAAGUGCCCCGCCUGGGGAGUACGGCCGCAAGGCUAAAACUCAAAGGAAUUGACGGGGGCCCGCACAAGCGGCGGAGCAUGCGGAUUAAUUCGAUGCAACGCGAAGAACCUUACCAAGGCUUGACAUUCACCGGACCGCCCCAGAGAUGGGGUUUCCCUUCGGGGCUGGUGGACAGGUGGUGCAUGGUUGUCGUCAGCUCGUGUCGUGAGAUGUUGGGUUAAGUCCCGCAACGAGCGCAACCCUCGUUCUAUGUUGCCAGCACGUGAUGGUGGGGACUCAUAGGAGACUGCCGGGGUCAACUCGGAGGAAGGUGGGGAUGACGUCAAAUCAUCAUGCCCCUUAUGUCUUGGGCUUCACGCAUGCUACAAUGGCCGGUACAAAGGGUUGCGAUACUGUGAGGUGGAGCUAAUCCCAAAAAGCCGGUCUCAGUUCGGAUUGAGGUCUGCAACUCGACCUCAUGAAGUCGGAGUCGCUAGUAAUCGCAGAUCAGCAACGCUGCGGUGAAUACGUUCCCGGGCCUUGUACACACCGCCCGUCAAGUCACGAAAGUUGGUAACACCCGAAGCCGGUGGCCUAACCCCUUGUGGGAGGGAGCCGUCGAAGGUGGGACUGGCGAUUGGGACUAAGUCGUAACAA